rnacentral:rRNA from 1 species
GGGGAAUUUUCCGCAAUGGGCGAAAGCCUGACGGAGCAAUACCGCGUGAGGGAAGAAGGUCUUUGGAUCGUAAACCUCUUUUCUCAGGGAAGAAGUUCUGACGGUACCUGAGGAAUAAGCCUCGGCUAACUCCGUGCCAGCAGCCGCGGUAAUACGGAGGAGGCAAGCGUUAUCCGGAAUUAUUGGGCGUAAAGCGUUCGCAGGUGGCUCGUCAAGUCUGCUGUCAAAGACCGGAGCUUAACUCCGGGUAGGCGGUGGAAACUGAAGAGCUAGAGUGCGGUAGGGGUAGAGGGAAUUCCCAGUGUAGCGGUGAAAUGCGUAGAGAUUGGGAAGAACACCGGUGGCGAAAGCGCUCUACUAGGCCGCAACUGACACUCAGGGACGAAAGGCUUUAAAAAGGGGAGCGAAUGGGGAUUAGAUACCCCAGUAGUC